GACGAACGCUGGCGGCGUGCUUAACACAUGCAAGUCGAACGGAAAGGCCCUGCUUUUGUGGGGUGCUCGAGUGGCGAACGGGUGAGUAACACGUGAGUAACCUGCCCUUGACUUUGGGAUAACUUCAGGAAACUGGGGCUAAUACCGGAUAGGAGCUCCUGCUGCAUGGCGGGGGUUGGAAAGUUUCGGCGGUUGGGGAUGGACUCGCGGCUUAUCAGCUUGUUGGUGGGGUAGUGGCUUACCAAGGCUUUGACGGGUAGCCGGCCUGAGAGGGUGACCGGCCACAUUGGGACUGAGAUACGGCCCAGACUCCUACGGGAGGCAGCAGUGGGGAAUAUAGCACAAUGGGCGGAAGCAUGAUGCAGCAACGCCGCGUGCGGGAGGACGGCCUGCGGGUGGUAAACCGCUUUCGCCUGUGACGAAGCGUGAGUGACGGUAAUGGGGAAAGAAGCACCGGCUAACUACGU
rnacentral:rRNA from 1 species